AUGCGCAGGCUACACAUGCAAGUCGAGCGGUAACAGGUCCAGCUUGCUGGACGCUGACGAGCGGCGGACGGGUGAGUAACGCAUAGGAAUCUACCCGGUAGUGGGGGAUAACCUGGGGAAACCCAGGCUAAUACCGCAUACGUCCUACGGGAGAAAGGGGGCUUAGGCUCCCGCUAUUGGAUGAGCCUAUGCCGGAUUAGCUGGUUGGUGAGGUAAUGGCUCACCAAGGCGACGAUCCGUAGCUGGUCUGAGAGGAUGAUCAGCCACAUCGGGACUGAGACACGGCCCGAACUCCUACGGGAGGCAGCAGUGGGGAAUAUUGGACAAUGGGGGCAACCCUGAUCCAGCCAUGCCGCGUGUGUGAAGAAGGCCCUCGGGUUGUAAAGCACUUUCAGCGAGGAAGAACGCCUGUCGGUUAAUACCCGGCAGGAAAGACAUCACUCGCAGAAGAAGCACCGGCUAACUCCGUGCCAGCAGCCGCGGUAAUACGGAGGGUGCAAGCGUUAAUCGGAAUUACUGGGCGUAAAGCGCGCGUAGGUGGCUUGAUAAGCCGGUUGUGAAAGCCCCGGGCUCAACCUGGGAACGGCAUCCGGAACUAUG
rnacentral:rRNA from 1 species